UUGUACAUUGAUUUGAGUAAUCUGUGAUUGUUGACUAAAAAGCUCAUAAAAAAAAUUAUAUGGGACCUCAUCAAAUGCUCCAUUAUAAGGAAAUUGGGGUGGCCCAAUAUCUGAAAAAAUUUGACAGAAACAACUUUUAUAUAAUUGAAAUGCAUGUAUCUCAUAUACUUUAUGCAAAUAGGAGGAACUUUAUGCAAAUAAGAGGGGACCACAACAAAUAGAGAUACCUUAUUUAUUUAUUUACUUCUUAAAGUCUUAACUUUUUCGAACAACCAUUCCACUAAAAGACAAAUCUUAACCCAAAACACUACACCUUUUAAAACUAGAAUCUGACAAAGUAAAAAAUCAGAAUCUGAC
rnacentral:lncRNA from 1 species